rnacentral:rRNA from 1 species
GGAUAAAUUAAGUUAAGGGCUUAUGAAGGAUGCCUUGACAUAAAGAGCCGAUGAAGGACGUGGCGUGACUGCGAUAAGCUUCGGGGAGGCGUUUAGCAGCCUUUGAUCCGGAGAUUUCCGAAUGGGGCAACCCAACAUUGUAAACCAAUGUUACCUCGCUUUAUUGCGGGGAGGGCACCUGGGGAAGUGAAACAUCUUAGUACCCAGAGGAAAAGAAAACAAGCCUUCGCUUUUAGCGAAGGGAUAUUCCCUAAGUAGCGGCGAGCGAAAGGGGAGGAGUCUAAACCUAUUUUUGUUUACAAAAAUGGGUGUUGUAAGGUAGCAGUGUUCCAAGAAGGAAGGAGUUUAGAAAUAUGAAAGUGUUAAUCAAAUCUUGCUGGAAAGCAGAACCAAAGAGGGUAAUAGUCCCGUAGGUGAAAAUACUUUUGUGCUCCUAACUGUUAUUCUUGAGUACCUCGGGACCAGACUAUCCCGUGGGAAACCGGCAGUCCUACACUGCCAAGACUAAAUACUCUUUAUGAUCGAUAGUGAACUAGUACCGUGAGGGAAAGGUGAAAAGUAGCCCGAUGAGGGCGGUGAAAUAGAACCUGAAAUCAUAAGCCUACAAAGAGUCGGAGCCCCGCAGUUCUGCGGGGUGACGGCGUGCUUUUUGCAGAACGAGCCAACGAGUUUUAGUUUUUUCUUUGUUUAAGCCCGUCAGGGCGAAGGCAUAGGGAAACCGAGUGUUAAUAGCGCGUUUGUUAUUUAUAACAAGAGAAAAAGCUAAAGACCCGAAGCCAGUGCGAGCUAACCAUGGCCAGGAUGAAUUUCCGAGAAGUCGGAAAGGAGGUCCGCACCCACUGAUCGUGCAACAUCAGGGGAUGAGCUGUGGUUAGAGGUGAAAUGCUAAUCGAGCCUGGUAAUAGCUGGUUCUUCCCGAAAUAGUUUUAGGGCUAGCCUCUUGUAAUUGGAUAUUUAUAUCCAAAGGUCUUUAGGGGUAGAGCACUGGAUGAAGCAAGGCGAUUUAUCGUACUUGCCUCAAUCAAACUCCGAAUACUAAGGAUUAAACAAGGGAGUCAGAACGCGGGGGCUAAGCUCCGCGCUCAAAAGGGAAACAGCCCAGAUUGUCAUCUAAGGUCCCUAAACCAAACUAAGUGGAAAAGGAAGUGAAAUUUCUCUGACAGCUAGAAGGUUGGCUUAGAAGCAGCCAUCCUUUAAAGAGUGCGUAACAGCCCACUAGUUCAGAGAUUUUGCGCCGAUAAUUUAACGGGGCUAAGUUUGGUACCGAAGAUACAGGCGUUCCGCUUUAUUGCGGGACGCGGUAGGGAAGCGUUCUAUGAGCGUUGAAGUCAAAUCGGAAGGUUUGAUGGAGAUCAUAGAAGCGAGAAUGUUGGCAUCAGUAACCACAAUCCCGAUGAGAUAUCGGGACGCCGAAAGCUCAAGGUUUCCUUGGCAAUGAAUAUCAGCCAAGGGUUAGGCGGUCCUAAGUUGAGCCCUGCGUUAUAGCGGGGUAGCUACGAUGGACAGACGGUUAAUAUUCCGUCCCUUCAAUAUUUUUUCGAUGGAAGGACGAGGUUUAGUAGUCUGAGCGGCUUAUUGGAUUGCCGUUCUUUGCUUGAGGAUGUCUGUUAGGUAAAUCCGGCAGACAAUAGUCCAAGAGUUGAGAAAAGGUUUUCUUUCGGGAUAACCAAUUCAGGUGAGCAGACCUCCAAGAAAAGUUCCUAAGAAAUAAGAAUAUUGAAUCCGUACCCCAAACCGACACAGGUGAGCAGGGCGAGUAGCCCAAGGCGAACGAGUGAUUUCUCGUGAAGGAACUCGGCAAAACAACGGGUGUAACUUCGGAAUAAACCCUCCCCGCAGAAAUGUGGGGCGCAGUUAAAGAUUCCUGGCGACUGUUUAUCAAAAACACAGCUCCCUGCUAACUCGCAAGAGGAUGUAUAGGGGGUGACGCCUGACCAAUGCCAGAAGGUUAACGGUUGACGUCUUGCUCUUCGGAGUAAGGCGAAGGCCCGAAGCCCUGGUGAAUGUCAGCAAUAACUAUAAUUGUUCUAAGGUGAAUUAAAGUUGCUUUAGUAAAAUUUGGCUAUAUGCUGGAAUAUCUGGAGUAUCUGGCGGUACUAUGGUAUAAUGUUACCAUAACCAAAAUAACAUUAUGUUAAGUAACAAACCGACCAGUGUAUCUUUUAAGGAAAAGAUGCCAGACAAUCAGCAGGAAAGGCUAAAAACUAUUGGAUGGAUAGUUGGUUAUGUAGAUGGCGAAGGAUGUUUUUCUGUAUCUAUGAUUCGUAAUCAUAGAACAAAAUACGGCUGGCAAGUUUUUCCAGAAUUUGUUAUUACUCAAGGAGAAAAAAGUUUGGACUCAUUAAAAAUAGUCCAAAAUUUCUUUGAGUGCGGAAAAAUAUUUGUCAAUCGUCGCUAUGAUAACCACAGAGAAAAUCUUUGCCGUUAUUGCAUAAGAUCUAUUAAAGAUUUAAACGAAAGAAUUAUUCCAUUUUUUAUGGAAAAUACUUUAGAAACAGCAAAGAAAAAAGAUUUUGAGAUUUUUGCGAAGAUUAUUGGAUUAAUGAUUGAACAAGAACAUUUUAAACUGAAAGGUUUGAAAAAGAUUGCUCAUCUAAUUCAGAAAAUGAAUCGUAAAAAACCAUCUAAGUUUUUAGAAUCCUCAGAGACUACACGCCAAACUCCCCGCAGUAUUGCGGAGAGAAGAUAUAGUCCGAACUCUAUAUCGAUAUAGAGAGAUCUUGAUAAUGUCAAGACGAUAACACAUUUGAGCGAAAUUCCUUGACUGGUAAUUUCAGUCCCGCACGAAUGGCGUCACGACUGGGAAACUGUCUCCACGAGAAGCUCGGUGAAAAUGCAGUAGGGGUGAAGAUGCCCCUUACCUGCGGCAAGACGGAAAGACCCUAGAAGUUUUACUGUAAGUUCUCAUUGAGGUAUUGUUUUGAAUGCGUAGUAUAGCGGGGAGGCUUUGAAGUCCGGCUUUCGGGCUGGAUGGAGCCGCCAGUGAAAUACCCGUCUUUUAAAAUGAUGCUUCUAAUUCGCCUUUUGGCGGAGACAGUGGGUGCUGGGCAGUUUUAGUGGGGCGCUAUCCUCCUAAAAAGUAACGGAGGAGUUUAUAAGGUCAGCUAGACCCGGAUGGAAAUCGGGUUCGUCGCGCAAAGGCACAAGCUGGCUUUACUGCAAGGCGGGCAUGCCGCGCAGUCGCGAAAGCGGAACUUAGUGAACUGACCGUGGGUUGUAGAACCGCGGGAGAUUAACGGAUAAAAACUACUCUAGGGAUAACAGGCUAAUAAAGCCCAAGAGUCCAUAUCGACGGCUUUGUUUGGCACCUCGAUGUCGGCUCAUCACAUCCUGGGGGUGAAGAAGCUCCCAAGGGUUUGGCUGUUCGCCAAUUAAAGUGGUACGCGAGCUGGGUUCAGACCGGCGUAAGCCAGGUUGGUCCCUAUCUGCCGUAGGCGUUGAUACUUGAGGGAAGUCUUUCAUUGUACGAGAGGAUCCGAAAGAACAAACCUCUGGUCUACCAGUUGUCCCGCCAGGGGCAUUGCUGGGUAGCUAAGUUUGGACGGGAUAAGCGCUGAAAGCAUCUAAGCGCGAAGCCCCUCCCAAGAUUAGGUAUCAUAGAUACGCGGGAGACGACCGCGUUGAUAGGCUUCAGGUGUAAGCGCGGUAACGCGUUUAGCCGAGAAGUACUAAUAUAUCAUAUUAUUUAUCCUU